ACGUACACUCCUGCGGGAGGCAGCAGUGGGGAAUAUUGCACAAUGGGCGGAAGCCUGAUGCAGCAACGCCGCGUGCGGGAUGACGGCCUUCGGGUUGUAAACCGCUUUCGCCUGUGACGAAGCGUGAGUGACGGUAAUGGGUAAAGAAGCACCGGCUAACUACGUGCCAGCAGCCGCGGUGAUACGUAGGGUUCGAGCGUUGUCCGGAUUUAUUGGGCGUAAAGGGCUCGUAGGUGGUUGAUCGCGUCGGAAGUGUAAUCUUGGGGCUUAACCCUGAGCGUGCUUUCGAUACGGGUUGACUUGAGGAAGGUAGGGGAGAAUGGAAUUCCUGGUGGAGCGGUGGAAUGCGCAGAUAUCAGGAGGAACACCAGUGGCGAAGGCGGUUCUCUGGGCCUUUCCUGACGCUGAGGAGCGAAAGCGUGGGGAGCGAACAGGCUUAGAUACCCUAGUAGUCCCAUG
rnacentral:rRNA from 1 species